ensembl:sense_intronic Gm29388 predicted gene 29388
GGGACGAUCACUCUCUGGGAUCAUGUGGCUUAGCUGAGGUGGAAGAGCCAGAUGCAGGAUUUUUCCAGCUAACAGAGGAAGAAGAGAAGAAGUGGGGACUGAGGAAGAGAAACUUGGCAGCAUCAAGGAGGCUGUUGGUGGCAAGCUGUGCUUGAAGAUGUUGCUGGUGGGAGUUACAUUUUAGUGACAGAAAUCUUCGGCCUCUACCUUCCAAGGCUGCUACCACCCACCACCCCAACCUUUUGCUGAACUCCUGACACAUUAACAAUCUUUGUGUAGGUGCA